rnacentral:misc_RNA from 1 species
CGCACAUUGCGCCCUUUGGCAUUCCGAAGGGCAUGCCUGUUCGAGCGUCAUUAUCCUCCCUCAAACCAUCUUCUUGGUUUGGUGUUGGACCGCGUUGGACCGUCCUCGGCCAACUGGUCUCAAAGACAAUGACGGCGUCCGUGGGACCCUCUUCGCACUGAGCUUUCCGGAGCACGCGUUGAGUUGCAAGGUCCCGGGGACCCGGCCUCCUUCAAAAUUAUUUUUUCUAGGUUGACCUCGGAUCAGGUAGGAAUACCCGCUGAACUUAA